rnacentral:tRNA from 1 species
GAAUAUGAAGCGAUAAAUUGCAAUUAGUUUCGACCUAAUUUUAGGUGUAACCUAUCACCCUUAUUCU